rnacentral:rRNA from 1 species
GGAGGCGAACCGGGGGAACUGAAACAUCUAAGUACCCCGAGGAAAAGAAAUCAACCGAGAUUCCCCAAGUAGCGGCGAGCGAACGGGGACCAGCCCUUAAGCUGGUGACUGGUUAGGCGAACGAGCUGGGAAGCUCGACCAUAGUGGGUGAUAGUCCCGUAGCCGAAAACCUGAUCCAGUGAAAUCGAGUAGGUCGGGGCACGUGAAACCUUGACUGAAGACGGGGGGACCAUCCUCCAAGGCUAAAUACUCCUGGCUGACCGAUAGUGAACCAGUACCGUGAGGGAAAGGCGAAAAGAACCCCGGAGAGGGGAGUGAAAUAGAUCCUGAAACCGUAUGCGUACAAGCAGUGGGAGCAGACUCGUUCUGUGACCGCGUACCUUUUGUAUAAUGGGUCAGCGACUUAUAUUCAGUGGCGAGCUUAACCGUAUAGGGGAGGCGUAGGGAAACCGAGUCUUAACUGGGCGACCAGUCGCUGGAUAUAGACCCGAAACCGGGCGAUCUAUCCAUGAGCAGGUUGAAGGUUGAGUAACAUCAACUGGAGGACCGAACCAGGAUCUGUUGAAAAAGAUUUGGAUGACUUGUGGAUCGGAGUGAAAGGCUAAUCAAGCCCGGAGAUAGCUGGUUCUCCUCGAAAGCUAUUUAGGUAGCGCCUCACGUAUCACCGCCGGGGGUAGAGCACUGUUUCGGCUAGGGGGCCAUCCCGGCUUACCAACCCGAGGCAAACUCCGAAUACCGGUGAGUGCAGCGUGGGAGACACACGGCGGGUGCUAACGUCCGUCGUGAAAAGGGAAACAACCCAGACCGUCAGCUAAGGCCCCAAAAUCCUGGUUAAGUGGGAAACGAUGUGGGAAGGCUCAGACAGCUAGGAGGUUGGCUUAGAAGCAGCCAUCCUUUAAAGAAAGCGUAAUAGCUCACUAGUCGAGUCGGCCUGCGCGGAAGAUGUAACGGGGCUCAAACCAGGUGCCGAAGCUACGGGUUCGUCGAAUGACGAGCGGUAGAGGAGCGUCGUGUAAGCCAAUGAAGGUGAGUUGAGAAGCUCGCUGGAGGUAUCACGAGUGCGAAUGCUGACAUGAGUAACGAUAAGGGGAGUGAAAAACUCCCCCGCCGGAAGACCAAGGGUUUCUGUUCGACGCUAAUCGGAGCAGAGUGAGUCGGCCCCUAAGGCGAGGCCGAAAGGCGUAGUCGAUGGGAAACGGGUCAAUAUUCCCGUACCUCACAGAAUUGCGAUGGGGGGACGAAGAAGGCUAGGUGAGCCAGGCGUUGGUUGUCCUGGUGAAAGUCGGUAGGCCGAGAUCUUAGGCAAAUCCGGGAUCUCAAGGCCGAGAGACGAGACGAACAGACUACGGUCUGGAAGUCAUUGAUGCCACGCUUCCAGGAAAAGCCUCUAAGCUUCAGAUUCUGUGAGACCGUACCCCAAACCGACACAGGUGGUCAGGUAGAGAAUACCAAGGCGCUUGAGAGAACUCGGGUGAAGGAACUAGGCAAAAUGGUGCCGUAACUUCGGGAGAAGGCACGCCGGCGUAGUGUGAACACCCCGCGGUGGAAGCACGAACCGGUCGAAGAUACCAGGUGGCUGCAACUGUUUAUUAAAAACACAGCACUCUGCAAACGCGCAAGCGGACGUAUAGGGUGUGACGCCUGCCCGGUGCCGGAAGGUUAAUUGAUGGUGUUAGGCUCCGGCCGAAGCUCCUGAUCGAAGCCCCGGUAAACGGCGGCCGUAACUAUAACGGUCCUAAGGUAGCGAAAUUCCUUGUCGGGUAAGUUCCGACCUGCACGAAUGGCGUAAUGAUGGCCACACUGUCUCCACCCGAGACUCAGUGAAAUUGAAAUCGCAGUGAAGAUGCUGUGUACCCGCGGCUAGACGGAAAGACCCCGUGAACCUUUACUAUAGCUUCACACUGGACGCUGAUGUUGCUUGUGUAGGAUAGCUGGGAGGCUUGGAAACCCGGACGCCAGUUCGGGUGGAGCCAACCUUGAAAUACCAGCCUGGCAUCAUUGGCGUUCUAACUCAGCCCCGUUAUCCGGGGCGAGGACAGUGUGUGGUGGGUAGUUUGACUGGGGCGGUCUCCUCCCAAAGAGUAACGGAGGAGCACGAAGGUACCCUCAGCACGGUCGGAAAUCGUGCA